rnacentral:tRNA from 1 species
GCCGGGGUGGCGAAAUUGGUAAACGCAGCGGACUCAAAAUCCGCCGGUGGUGACACCUUGAGGGUUCGAGUCCCUCCCCCGGCACCA